GACGAACGCUGGCGGCGUGCUUAACACAUGCAAGUCGAGCGGUAAGGCCCUUUCGGGGGUACACGAGCGGCGAACGGGUGAGUAACACGUGGGUGACCUGCCCUUAGCUCUGGGAUAAGCCUGGGAAACUGGGUCUAAUACCGGAUAUGACUCCAUGACGCAUGUUGUGGGGUGGAAAGCCUUGUGCGGCUAGGGAUGGGCCCGCGGCCUAUCAGCUUGUUGGUGGGGUNAUGGCCUACCAAGGCGACGGACGGGUAGCCGGCCUGAGAGGGCGACCGGCCACACUGGGACUGAGACACGGCCCAGACUCCUACGGGAGGCAGCAGUGGGGAAUCUUGCGCAAUGGGCGAAAGCCUGACGCAGCGACGCCGCGUGGGGAUGAC
rnacentral:rRNA from 1 species